rnacentral:ncRNA from 2 species
GGUUGGAGCAGAUGCUUUCAAGACGGUCCCUUCUAGGGUGAGGAGGG